GGACCUCAGUCACAGUAGCCCAGAAGAUAGAACACACCAAUUGGAUGUGAUGAGGUCAUGCUUCAACCUACAGUGAAAAUAUUUUAGUGAACAAUCCAAACUGGGUGAAUUCACUGUAGGGACCGCCUGUUCUUAAAAACCAAACCAAACAAAGCAAUAUGUUGCCACUAGAAGAUUAAGGAAACUGGCAUAUUUUAAGUAUCAAAACAUAUAAUCACAUCAUAAAUAUGAUUUUAUCCUUCUUUUCACAAUAGCCCCCAAAGUAAGUAUGGUAGGUAUUCUUAUUAGAACCAUGUUAUAAUUGAACAAACUAUGGCUUAGAGAAGUUAAUAAACUCUCACAGGAUAACAGAGAUAGUAAGUUACAAGGGCUGGAAUCACACCCAUCUAUACUAACUCCAGAUUUUGUGCACUAAUUUUAGAACCGGAAUGUGUCAUCCUCUUAAGCGGCAACCACUCCUUUGAGUAACAGCUUCUCGGGACUUAAACCAGAACUUGUAAGUGUAUAUAGAACACAUCUCCUUGCAGCCUGUACAACCAAGAACAUCAGACCCCUAUCAGAAACACACUGUUCUGGAGGACUUUAAGGUGAGAGUUUCUACUGGAAUAUUGAAUUUCUUGCUUCCUUAUACUCCCUUCCCAGGUAGAACACUGAGAUAUCUCAAAGAAUUGGAGCCAAAUAAAUCUUGGCCCUUUGCUGUCUAUCUUAUUAGCUCAAUGGGGCAGAAGUGAUGGCCACCCAAAGGACCAUGCCAGCAGUCAGAUUUGUCUUGGUGAGCGUAAGUGCUUGGCCUGGAGUUUGCUAUCCUUGUAGGUAUGUUGUAAGGAGAGGCAGAGUAAAAUGGAAUCUCAACUGGAGAAGAGUCAUUGGGAAGCAGUAGUUCUGUAAGUGCAGCCUUAAGGCAAAAUAUGGCUGAGAAAUCAGCCAGCAGAGAGAAAGUAGAAAAAACUGAAAACGG
rnacentral:lncRNA from 10 species